rnacentral:rRNA from 1 species
GACGAACGCUGGCGGCGUGCUUAACACAUGCAAGUCGAACGGUGAAGGGGAGCUUGCUCCCCGGACCAGUGGCGAACGGGUGAGUAACACGUGGGCAACCUGCCCCAGACUUCGGGAUAACGCUUCGAAAGAGGUGCUAAUACCGGAUACGAACUCUCCAGGCAUCUGGAGGGUUGGAAAGUUUCUCGGUCUGGGAUGGGCACGCGGCCUAUCAGCUAGUUGGUGAGGUAACGGCUCACCAAGGCGACGACGGGUAGCCGGCCCGAGAGGUUGACCAGCCACACUGGGACCGAGAUACGGCCCAGACUCCUACGGGAGGCAGCAGUGAGGAAUUUUCCACAAUGGACGAAAGUCUGAUGGAGCAACGCCGCGUGCAGGAAGACGGCUUUCGGGUUGUAAACUGCUUUUAUUUGGGAAGAUUAUGACGGUACCAAAUGAAUAAGGAUCGGCUAACUACGUGCCAGCAGCCGCCGUAA